UGGGGAAUAUUGCACAAUGGGCGCAAGCCUGAUGCAGCCAUGCCGCGUGUAUGAAGAAGGCCUUCGGGUUGUAAAGUACUUUCAGCGAGGAGGAAGGCGGUAAGGUUAAUAACCUUAUCGAUUGACGUUACUCGCAGAAGAAGCACCGGCUAACUCCGUGCCAGCAGCCGCGGUAAUACGGCGGGUGCAAGCGUUAAUCGGAAUUACUGGGCGUAAAGCGCACGCAGGCGGUCUGUCAAGUCGGAUGUGAAAUCCCCGGGCUCAACCUGGGAACUGCAUUCGAAACUGGCAGGCUAGAGUCUUGUAGAGGGGGGUAGAAUUCCAGGUGUAGCGGUGAAAUGCGUAGAGAUCUGGAGGAAUACCGGUGGCGAAGGCGGCCCCCUGGACAAAGACUGACGCUCAGGUGCGAAAGCGUGGGGAGCAAACA
rnacentral:rRNA from 1 species